UCUGCUUAGCAGAUCGUACGUCUGCCGUACGUCAAGGCCACUGCUAAUGACCCUGUAAGCUCAUGAACAAGACAAUAGUAUUAAAACCCACACUAACUGCAGGAGAAACCGAGAAUGAAUACUAAAACACGCUAAACAAUAAGCGAUUAACACAGUAGCUAAUGGACCACAGGAUAGCUACAAAAGUUUCUUCAGCAAUAUUACAAUAGUAAUUUUCGCAAUAAUAUAGUGAAUUUGUUUCACAUGGACUCAGUUCACUGGUUAGCAUUUAUUUGUGUCAUGACAAUUUAAGCAAGGAGAUCACAAUCAUGUUGGCAUAUGCUAGUUUUGAGUGCUGCACAGUCUGCUAAUUGCACGCAAUAAUUUCUGGUGUGUGAAGCCCACAGACCUGUUGUACCAGCACAAGGUGGAAUACGAGAAAGGCAGGGACUGAAGACUUUCCACCCAAGGCUGCGGCAGUUCUGCCCUUGGAGAUCAGUCCCCGGGGGAGGUCGAGUGGUAGAAUUUAUCAGUGCGAAUUUUGGCAGCAUUUUUGGUGCAAAUUCAGGAGGCCCCUCAGCAGCAGGAAGACCCAUUUUUGGAAGGAGUGAGCUCAGAUGCGGAAGAACAAAAUAUUGAAAGAUAAUGAAAUGGAUGACGAGCAUGGAAGCAGCUGAAUUUUCUGAUGCAAUUCAUUAAGAGAGAACAGCUCUGCAAACGGUCCAGCUUGAUGUCGCUAACAAGAAGUCCGGGGGUCCGCCCAAUGGAUGUCCACAUCGGCAUUGGAGCAGAGGCUGUUUAUAAAGUGCUUCCUUGAGAAUUCUCUGCGAUCUGUGAGACGUUUGCAAGCGUCUGAAAAAUUCUAUGCACGAUACCAGAGGUAGGCACAGACAGCAGAAGAGAGGGAGGAGAAGAAGCCAAACUAUAAUGUUUGAGCAUGUACCGUGUAACCAAUCCUCCAUUAUCUAUACCCGCUUAUCCUGGACAGGAUCAUCAUCCAUCCAUUAUCUAUACCCGUUUAUCCUGGGCAGGGUUACCAUCCAUCCAUCCAUCUAUUAUCUAUACCCGCUUAUCCUGGGCAGGGUUACCAUCCAUCCAUCCAUUAUCUAUACCCACUUAUCCUGGUCAGGGUUACCAUCCAUCCAUCCAUUAUCUAUACUCUCUUAUCCUGAGUAGAGUCACCAUCCAUCCAUCCAUUCAUGAUCUAUACCUGCUUAUCCUGGACAGGGUUGUGGUGGGUGCUGGAGCCUUUCCCAACGUGCAUUGGGCAAGAGUGUCGGCUGAGACAGAGGAAGAUGUUGAAGAGGAGGAGAGGUCUUGUCAAGACGCUUUCGACUUGUACUUUGUCCUCGACAAUGUCUGGCCUGGCAUUAAGGAGCAACACCUCCGAAAAAGACCCUUAAUUACAUCACCUUCAGGCCCGGCUCUACCGUUUCCAUGACGAUACCGCACGGCGCAGGGCCCGUCCAGAGGACCUCUCCGCACCUGUCGGCCGCCAUGUCGCGGCUUUGUUUACCGUCGCCUGGAUACCGCCUCUGCGUUUCCCGGCAGGGAUCAUCAAAGUCAUGAGUCAUCCGGUCUGAGACUCGUCCCGAUCGACCGCCCUCUCUCUCUCUACCGCCAGAACAUCACCUUCAUCCCCGUUCAGGGCCGGGGAGCGUCCUGUGGGCGUGCCCGCAUCCUGCACACCAUCCUGCUGGUUCAGCCAAUGCCAACGUGCCACGCCUUUCCUGGCCGCACAGCCAAAUCCUGUACGCGUCCUCGUGAGUAGUUCACCCAAACUUUAUGCCCUUCCCCCGUGAGCUCGGCUAAAUGCUACACGCCCUAAAUGCACGGCAUAGUUCUACGUUUCACAUUUACCCAGAAUGCUGUGGCAUACUCCGGAAUGAAAGGCUGGAAUAAUGUCAGAAUGCUGCUUUCAUGUUUAUCGUAUAUUUCAUUCAUGGCAUGCACUGGCACCAGUCUUUUUCUCCAAAGCAUAAACGAGAGUUUCCUGGGUGAGAACCUGCAGACCUCCCCCCCUCCACCCCCUCCCCCCCGUCUGGCUCCUCCCCCUUCCCCUACUGAAUCCCGUACACGAUAAGCAAAGUGGUUUUAUCACCUCAUCUCUCUUGUGCCGAGACAGCUUGCCAUCCCUGUGUUGUGUGGUGGGCGUGGUGAGGAACAACCCGUGUCCUGUCAGCCCGAGAAGGAAAUAUACAUUUUUCUUCCCCCACCCCCUCGCUCCCCCAUAAAUCAGCGGGCGAUCAGGCAGGGAGGGAGGGGCAGGAGUAAACGUCGAUCCGAGUCCAGAGCCAAAUUACGGGAACGACUUUGGGGCGGGGCAAGGAUGCGUGUGUUGUCGUGACAGCACUCAGGACAGAGGCGGGAGGAGGGAAGCCAAGGCUGUCAAUCACACCGCCGGCAUUGUGAGGUCAUAAGCACUCUGCUUGGGCCGUCUAUCAAAAAAAAAAAAAGAGGCUGUUGUGACCUGGCAGGAGUUCAAACCCAGUCUCUGCUGCGUAUACAGAAACUGGGCAGAAACGGCCCAGAUUCUCAUCUGCCUGUUGUAGUCCUGGGUUUGUGGUUUAGCUGCACUCUCACACUAGCCUGUGCUAAAUGGGUUUUUAUGACCACUGCUCAGACCCCCCGUGCCCUAGCAGCACUCUUGUUUGACCUCGCUGUUCCUCGUGUUACCAUUGGCUGACUCCUGUCCACCUACGCACCCGUUCCUGCCGCUUUCCCGGUUCGAUUGGCUAAUUCAGUCCAACACUGCCCCCUGGUGUAGGAUGCGAGACACGGCAUCCAGUGCAGAGUCAUGCUGAACAGCCCGGGGUGGAACUGGUCUGGCUUUGUGUGACAUGAACGUUUUUGGCUUUCGUUCGUCCCCUCCCUCCCCAGGCUGGGAUAGAUGGGACGCCCUGUUGGCGGAACACUCCGUCGGCCUGCCAUGUUUGGCAAAAGCUCUGCUGAACCCUGAGCUUGUGCCACUGCCUUCCACAGCUGCUGGUGUGUCUCCUUCUCUGUCCCUCCAGUUAUUAAAACAGGGGCAGCCCAUACAGACUAUAUGGUAUAUUUAAUUAUAUGGUGUGAAAAAUUCUAAAUCUAUUUAAAUAUAUUGUGUAAUAUAUGUAUGGAAAACAUAUUUAAAUAUAUUUAAUUAUAUUAAAUUAUAUAUCCAUCCAUCCAUCCAUUACCCAUAUACACUUAUCAUGACCGGGGGGUAUUGGAGCCUAUCCCAGCAUGCAUGGGGCGAUAGACCCACCUAAACUCUCUCUGCGACCAUCUGACUGCAUUUCAAAACUUUUGAGUACGUUCUGUGAAAUCCUUCAUUUUAAGUUGUACGGUGUCAGCGACCUUGCUACCAGUCAUCAGAAGCUUUGAUUUCCAAUAAAUACAUUUCUCAAGAGGCACCCUGAGUACUGGCUGAAAUCAGUGUUUUAGGGCUCCUAGUAUGGAGAUCAGAGUCCGGGGGAAAACCCCGGCGGGGUCUGAAACCGCUGGGAAGCGAAAGUUGGCUAAGCCUCGUCAAGCGUUUCGGGAAGAACCCUGCAGGUUUUGUUUUUCAGUGGCCUUUUCAUUUGAGAAGGACAGGUAGCUAGCUAGCAAGAACGUCAGUGACUCUAAAAGUUAAUUCCAGGAGAGUAUUUUUAUUCAUUCAUUUGUUUAUUUAUUUAUUUUAUUUAUUUUUAAUUAAUUCUUUUUUAAUUAAAAAAAAAAAAAAAAACGACAGACCAGAGUGACUCUGAUGGAUGUAGCUUGCCGUCAGUGUGUCGGUGGAUCUUACUAGCCCGAGGAAGAGGAGUCGGGAAAGCCAAAAGCAUAAGGAAAAGUUUGAAUUAUUAUUUUGAACAGGCUUUAAUGAGCUUGUGAAAUAGUAGCUUUUAUUGCUUUUUAUCACACCAUAAUUUCAAGGGAUAACUCGGCCAGCAAGCUCAGUAGUGAAUUCUGAGUUCUGUGUGAUAUUAGAGACUGCAUCUUUAUCAUUGGUAUUUUACUGAAAUAUCUUGGGUUUUAUAAAUUUUAUUUAUUGCUUAACUGAUAUUGUUUUUAUCAUAGUUUUCUGUUUGAAAAUUAAGAAUGAAAUGAUUGACACCCUUGAUAAAUAUUUCAGAGUGCUGCUGUGAAAGAGCAUGCACACUCAGUCAACCUAACCUGUGUAAAUAAAGGUUGAUAAUAUAAAACGCUAACCACGAGGCACUUCCUGCAGGGCGCUUGGUUCUUUAACCGUCUCCUCCAUGCCUUCAACUUCGAUACCGUACUCUGGCUGGUACUCGGUUUAAUCCCUGACAGAUUAUUUACGGAUGCCAUGUUCACUUUCAGAGCAGGGGUUGUGUGGGCAAGUGAUGGGAGGGGCACUCCUGUCAUUCUCAGUUAGGUAACCAAUCAAGGCAGGGCAUAAAAACAUGCCAAACAUACCCAAAAUGACAUUUUGAGCUCCAAGGAAGUGAAACUCUCUGGAUAUGUUUUUUAAAAAAUGUUUUGUAAUUAUUUUUUUUAAACAACAUUAACAUGUUUGGUAGAUAUUGUGGAAUAAUUAAAAAUGGCCAAAAAAAAUUGGUCCAUUAAUGCAGGGGUUUUUGUUUUGCUUGAUCAAAUGAGGAUUACGGAGGGAACUGUAUAUUGGAAUGCCUGUUAGAAAGGUAUUGUAACUGUUUUUUUCCACUAGACUUGUCUCUAACAAUCAAUCAUUUAUCAUCUUCUGGGAAAAACUAGGUGUCACUUCUUAAAUGUUUUUUUUUUUAAUUUUUAUAAUCCCUUUGAACAGCCUGAAUGCAUGUCGUAUGCAGAAGCCAAUGAGUCUUACAUUAGUACAAUACGGUAGCUGUGCUUGCUGGGAUUUGUCAUCUGUCUGCUCUGCUGUGGUCGCGCGCUAGCCGUUUGCGCCACCGCGAGCUGCAGUGAACUUAUGAACGCUCCCGCCGCGCAGGUUACGGGAAUCAGGUAAGCGUGACUCACCGACGUCUACGACCUCACGUUUCCGCGGGGCUGGUUGGAAUUCAUGUUCCUAUCCGCUUAACGCGCUGGUUUUUUCCAGUUGCUUCAGCCAGUCGAGUAAAAAUAUUAUCGGGAGGCGGAAUGGCCCUUGGCGGCUGCAUCACUGACAGGGCUGGGGAGCGCAAGCUGAGAAAGGUCUGAGGUGAGUCACAGUAAACAGUUUAUAAACUGUGUGAAAAGUCACUCUUACCCUCCGUAGUCUGCUGAAACGCGCGCCACUGAAUGUCAAACAGAACUGAGCGGAGCCCCAACAACACUUUCACUUAAGUGAAUGGAGAAGACCUUUUACAUACGGUGACAUGUUUGUUAGUUUUGAUUUCACGCACCCGUGAGCGGUGCAUUUAAAUACUGGGAACAGUAGCGGAAUACAGAAGCAGCGGUGUGAGUCUAACGGACAAUUAGAGGUAUCAUUUAACCAAAGUGAAACUAGAAGAGAAACGAUAUCCUAACUACAUAAUUAAUGGUCACUGUCCAAAAGAGCUGCCCCUUCAACUGAACACCAUAUGUUGACAGGUUUCUGCCCUCUAGAGGAUAAAGGU